rnacentral:rRNA from 1 species
GACGAACGCUGGCGGCGUGCUUAACACAUGCAAGUCGAGCGGAGCGGCGAACGGGUGAGUAACUCGUGAGUAACUGCCCCCCUCUCUGGGAUAACAGUUGGAAACGGCUGCUAAUACCUGAUAGUUGGGGAUGACUCGCGUCCUAUCAGCUUGUUGGUGGGGUAGUGGCCUACCAAGGCGACGACGGGUAGCCGGCCUGAGAGGGCGACCGGCCACAAGGGGCUGAGAUACGGCCCAGACUGGUACGGGAGGCAGCAGUGGGGAAUAUGGCCCAAUGGGGGAAACCCUGAUGCAGCAACCCGCGGGCGGGAUGACGGCCUGCGGGUGGUAAACCGGUUUCAGCCAUGACGCGGUAGUGGCAGAAGAAGCACCGGCUAACUACGUGCCAGCAGCCGCGGUAAUUC